UGCCUAAACCAAGCUUUCGCUUGGCAUGGCUAAAAGUCGGAUCACGCAUAAAAAACCCAUCAUGGGGUCGCGUGAUCCGCCAUAUCGGGAAACCGGUAUGAGUGGCUUCGGCCACU
rnacentral:sRNA from 1 species